GGGUAUAUAGCUCAGUGGUAGAGCACAUGCUUGGCAUGCACAAAGUCCUGGAUUCAAUCCCCAGUAUCUCCA
rnacentral:tRNA from 1 species